rnacentral:rRNA from 1 species
UACGGAGGAUGCGAGCGUUAUCCGGAUUUAUUGGGUUUAAAGGGUGCGCAGGCGGGAGAUUAAGUCAGCGGUGAAAUCUGGACGCUCAACGUUCAAAUUGCCGUUGAAACUGGUUUUCUUGAGUGUGGUUGAAGUAGGCGGAAUUCGUUGUGUAGCGGUGAAAUGCUUAGAUAUCACGCAGAACUCCGAUUGCGAAGGCAGCUUACUAAACUAUAACUGACGCUCAAGCACGAAAGCGUGGGGAUCAAACAGG